CUAAGUUUGGCCCUUCCUGGCUGCCGUCCUCCCCUGCAGGCUGUGCGCAGUAGCGGCUGUUACCCCUCCUUUCCGUCUCAGGAAAACAGCGUGCUCGUGUCUCUGUCGCCCAAGCAAGAGUGCGGUAGCACAAUCUCGGCUCACUGCAGUCUCUGCCUCCCAGGCUCAAAGGAUCCAUCCAUCUCAGCCUCAGGAUUAGCUGGGACAACAGGCACAUACCGUCAUGCCCAGACAGGUUCCCACUCUGUCACCGUGACUGGAGUGCAGUGGCAUUAGCAUGACUCACCACAGCCUUGACCUUCUGGGCUCAAGUGAUCCUCCCAUCUCAGCCUCCCAAGUAGCUGGGACUACAGGGAGAUGUGACCAACUAAGUUCAAUGAAAGUAUCAUGUGGGACUUCUAGGAAGGUUUGUAAUGGGAGCAGGUUUGAUUAAGAGAGGACUAAUUUGCCUUUUCUGCUAUCUGGAAUGUGAUAGCUAGAGCUCAGCAGUCUUCCUGGUUCAUGCGAUGGCUUUGAGAAUGAAAGCCACUUACUGUGGAUGAUGGAGAAGAUAGAAUGAGCCAGGGUCACUGAUGCUUUUGUGGAGCCACCAUUCUGUCUCUGUAUC